rnacentral:rRNA from 1 species
AGUUUGAUCCUGGCUCAGGAUGAACGCUGGCGGCGUGCUUAACACAUGCAAGUCGAACGAAGCACUUUAUUUGAUUUCCUUCGGGACUGAUUAUUUUGUGACUGAGUGGCGGACGGGUGAGUAACGCGUGGGUAACCUGCCUUGUACAGGGGGAUAACAGUUGGAAACGGCUGCUAAUACCGCAUAAGCGCACAGCAUCGCAUGAUGCAGUGUGAAAAACUCCGGUGGUAUAAGAUGGACCCGCGUUGGAUUAGCUAGUUGGUGAGGUAACGGCUCACCAAGGCGACGAUCCAUAGCCGACCUGAGAGGGUGACCGGCCACAUUGGGACUGAGACACGGCCCAAACUCCUACGGGAGGCAGCAGUGGGGAAUAUUGCACAAUGGGCGAAAGCCUGAUGCAGCGACGCCGCGUGAGCGAAGAAGUAUUUCGGUAUGUAAAGCUCUAUCAGCAGGGAAGAUAAUGACGGUACCUGACUAAGAAGCACCGGCUAAAUACGUGCCAGCAGCCGCGGUAAUACGUAUGGUGCAAGCGUUAUCCGGAUUUACUGGGUGUAAAGGGAGCGCAGGCGGUGCGGCAAGUCUGAUGUGAAAGCCCGGGGCUCAACCCCGGUACUGCAUUGGAAACUGUCGUACUAGAGUGUCGGAGGGGUAAGCGGAAUUCCUAGUGUAGCGGUGAAAUGCGUAGAUAUUAGGAGGAACACCAGUGGCGAAGGCGGCUUACUGGACGAUAACUGACGCUGAGGCUCGAAAGCGUGGGGAGCAAACAGGAUUAGAUACCCUGGUAGUCCAUGCGGUAAACGAUGAAUGCUAGGUGUCGGGGAGCAAAGCUCUUCGGUGCCGCCGCAAACGCAUUAAGCAUUCCACCUGGGGAGUACGUUCGCAAGAAUGAAACUCAAAGGAAUUGACGGAAGGGC